rnacentral:rRNA from 1 species
CAGUCGCCGCGGUAAUACGUAGGUGGCAAGCGUUGUCCGGAAUUAUUGGGCGUAAAGGGCUCGCGGGCGGUUUCUUAAGUCUGAUGUGAAAGCCCCCGGCUCAACCGGGGAGGGUCAUUGGAAACUGGGAAACUUGAGUGCAGAAGAGGAGAGUGGAAUUCCACGUGCAGCGGUGAAAUGCGUAGAGAUGUGGAGGAACACCAGUGGCGAAGGCGACUCUCUGGUCUGUAACUGACGCUGAGGAGCGAAAGCGUGGGGAGCGAACAGGAUUAGAUACCCCUGUAGUCCCUGUCUCUUAUAC